rnacentral:RNase_P_RNA from 1 species
AGGUGGCCGGAUAGCCGCGCCGCAGCACGCCUGUGGUGAGGAAAGUCCGGGCUUCAGGGGAACAGGACACCGGAUAACGUCCGGCUGGAGUAAUCCAAGGGAAAGUGCCACAGAGAAGAUACCGCCGGAGCAAGUCUUCGGUAAGGGUGAAAAGGCGGGGUAAGAGCCCACCGCAAAGUCGGUAACGACGUUGGCAUGGUAAACCCUGUCUGAUGCAAGACCAAGUUAGGAGGGUACAAGUGCUUUUGCAAACUGUGCUAAACGGAACGUUCUCCUUCCGCUCCAGAGGUAGGUCGCGUUGAGCUGUUUAGUAAUAAACAGCCUAGAUGAAUGGCUAUCGCCCUGUUUGCAGGGUACAGAACCCGGCUUAUAAGCCGCCUUGU